CCUCUUCGAAAAUAGUGGUAUGAAUUAUAUACAUUUUACCCUCCUUAGACCAAUCCCACUUGAUUGGAAUACAAUAAAUUUAUUGUUGUUUUGUAAGGAAAAUAAUAAAAUCUUCAUCUGCUAUUGAUUUGACCGGGGAAAAAAAACAGAUAAUAUCCAAAUCUAGAAAAACGAUAAUCCAAUCAAAGAUUUUUCGUCUGUUUAAAUCUAAAUGGGGCAAUUGUAUUUUGUAUC
rnacentral:lncRNA from 1 species